rnacentral:rRNA from 1 species
ACGGCGGACGGGUGAUACACGUGGGUACCUGCCUGUAAGACUGGGAUAACUCCGGGAAACCGGGGCUAAUACCGGAUGGCUUGUUUGAACCGCAUGGUUCAGACAUAAAAGGUGGCUUCGGCUACCACUUACAGAUGGACCCGCGGCGCAUUAGCUAGUUGGUGAGGUAACGGCUCACCAAGGCAACGAUGCGUAGCCGACCUGAGAGGGUGAUCGGCCACACUGGGACUGAGACACGGCCCAGACUCCUACGGGAGGCAGCAGUAGGGAAUCUUCCGCAAUGGACGAAAGUCUGACGGAGCAACGCCGCGUGAGUGAUGAAGGUUUUCGGAUCGUAAAGCUCUGUUGUUAGGGAAGAACAAGUGCCGUUCAAAUAGGGCGGCACCUUGACGGUACCUAACCAGAAAGCCACGGCUAACUACGUGCCAGCAGCCGCGGUAAUACGUAGGUGGCAAGCGUUGUCCGGAAUUAUUGGGCGUAAAGGGCUCGCAGGCGGUUUCUUAAGUCUGAUGUGAAAGCCCCCGGCUCAACCGGGGAGGGUCAUUGGAAACUGGGGAACUUGAGUGCAGAAGAGGAGAGUGGAAUCCACGUGUAGCGGUGAAUGCGUAGAGAUGUGAGGACACAGUGCGAGGCACUCUCUGUCUGUACUACCUAGACGAAGCUGGACACAGAUAAUACUGUAUCCGCGUACAUAUCAGGUAGGUCGCUAUCGACACCUAGCU